rnacentral:pre_miRNA from 9 species
CAGCUCUUGCUGGAGAAGCAGGGCACGUGCAAUUCCUUUCUUUCCCUCUCCGAAUUGCACGUGCUCCACUUCUCCAACAUGGGUUU